rnacentral:rRNA from 1 species
UCUAGCAUGUGCGCGAGUCAUUGGGACUUUUUUUCAGGAAAGCCCAGAGGCGCAAUGAAAGUGAAGAUCGGCCUUUUCGGCCUGAUCGAGGGAGGAUGGCUCAUUGUUAUUUUUUAUGAUGACGGGCUCGCACUCCCGGGGCGUCUCGCGCUCAUUUCGAGCGGAGGCGCACCCAGAGCGUACACGCUGGGACCCGAAAGAUGGUGAACUAUGCCUGGUCAGGACGAAGUCAGGGGAAACCCUGAUGGAGGUCCGUAGCGAUUCUGACGUGCAAAUCGAUCGUCGGAACUGGGUAUAGGGGCGAAAGACUAAUCGAACCAUC